GAUGAACGCCGGCGGCGCGUCUAAAGCAUGCAAGUCGAACGAGUGACUUUCGGUAGCAAUACUGGAAGUCGCUAGUGGCAAACGGGUGCGUAACACAUUGGCAAUCUGCCUCGAAGUCGGGUAUAACUCUCCGAAAGGAGAGCUAAUUCCACGAUGGUCAUGCGGGGACAAAAGUCAUUCGCAUGUAAAGUGCAAAACACACUUCGAGAGGAGCCUAUGGCCUAUCAGCUUGUUGGUGAGGUAAUGGCUCACCAAGGCUAUGACGGGUAGGGGAUGUGAGAGCAUGAUCCCCCUCACUGGGACUGAGACACUGCCCAGGCACCUACGGGUGGCUGCAGUCGAGAAUAUUCGGCAAUGGACGAAAGUCUGACCGAGCGACGCCGCGUGCAGGAUGAAGGGUUUCGGCCUGUAAACUGCUUUUUUUAGGGACGAAUCUAUGACGGUACCUAAAGAAUAAGAGGUUGCUAACUCUGUGCCAGCAGCAGCGGUAAUACAGAGACCUCAAGCGUUAUCCGGAUUUACUGGGCGUAAAGGGUCCGCAGGUGGUCGUGCGCGUCGAUGGUUAAAUGUACGGGCUCAACUCGUACGCCGCCGUCGAUACGGCAUGACUAGAGGCCGGAAGAGGUAAGCGGAAUUACAGGUGUAGUAGUAAUAUGCGUUAAUAUCUGUAAGAACACCAAAAGCGUAGGCAGCUUACUGGAACGCGCCUGACACUCAGGGACGAAAGCGUGGGGGGCGAAAGGGAUUAGAUACCCCUGUAGUCCACGCCCUAAACGAUGGAUGCUAGAUAUCGGGGGUAUCGACCCUCCCGGUGUCGGUCAAAAAAGCUAACGCAUUAAGCAUCCCGCCUGGGGAGUACGGUCGCAAGACUAAAACUCAAAGGAAUAGACGGGGACCCGCACAAGCAGAGGAGCAUGUGGUUUAAUUCGACGGUAAGCGAGGAACCUUACCAAGGUUUGAAAUGUAGCUGCAAGCCGCUAGAAACAGUGGCCGCCUUCGAGGGUGCUACACAGGUGCUGCAUGGUUGCCGUCAGCUCGUGUCGUGAGAUGUACCGUUAAGUCGGGUAACGAGCGCAACCCCUAUCCCGUGUUGAAUGUUCACGGGAGACCGCCUCGGAUAACGGGGAGGAAGGUGGGGAUGACGUCAAAUCAGCAUGGCUCUUACACCUUGGGCUACACACGUGCUACAAUGGUCAGGACAAUGGGUUGCCAAGCCGUAAGGCGGAGCUAAUCCCAACAAACCUGGCCCCAGUUCGGAUUGAGGGCUGCAAUUCGCCCUCAUGAAGUUGGAUUUGCUAGUAACGGCCGAUCAGCCACGCGGCCGUGAAUACGUUCUCGGGUC
rnacentral:rRNA from 1 species